GAUGACUUGUGUCCAGUGAUGAGUCAUGCCCAAAACUCCAUUAUCUGAAAUGACCAGGGGCCUUCUCAGUGUGAUGUCAUCAUGAGAAUGUGGGGAAGCACCAGUAUUUUCCCUGGUCCUGCGGUUCAUCUCGACCACAGAGCACAGCAGAAGUCACUGCACAGCUGCUUUCUCCAAGUUCACAAUGAUGCUGCGGCAUCGCUAGCACCAUCCUGGAUGCAGACUAGAAGAGAACUAGGAAUCAGCCAAAUAUCCUGCACCGGAAACGCUCUCCCAGGCCCCCGCUGCAAGCACACACUGCCUCGGAUUCUCCCCACGGUCAGAACGCCUGUGCUUCUCUACUGUAUCCAGCCCUGCCAAGGUUCUCCACUGGCUUUCUCCCCAUCGCUCUUAACAGAAGCGCUCCUGCUAUCUACAGUCUCAUGCUUCCUGUGGUGACCACACCUACUACCACUUCUUCAAUGAUCCGUCUGUAUCCUUGUCGAAGAACACUCUCGGCACACCUGCUUACCCGGAGACCACAUAUGCGAUGGUGCACUAGGUGGCUCCAGGUGCUGGCCUGUGGCAAACAGACACUAGGUCUCUCCUGUCACUGCUUGAUACAUAGAUGUCACAUGUGCUUGCUACCUUAACUCAGAACACUACUUUCUAGGCACUGCAGUUCCAAGUCAGUCCACCUUCAUCUGUGUGGGCCCUCUGGUGACAGAUGGAGCCCAGGCACUCAGGUCACCAGCCCUGCCAUAACCCUCCUUGUUACUCUUCUAACAUUGUCUGCUCAGUGAAUCACCUCACCCACAAAGCCAUUCUCAUCCCAUUUAAUAAAUCCCUCUACGUAAG